rnacentral:rRNA from 1 species
UACGUAGGGUGCAAGCGUUGUCCGGAAUUAUUGGGCGUAAAGAGCUCGUAGGCGGUUUGUCGCGUCUGCUGUGAAAUCUGGAGGCUCAACCUCCAGCCUGCAGUUGGUACGGGCAGACUAGAGUGCGGUAGGGGAGAUUGGAACUCCUGGUGUAGCGGUGGAAUGCGCAGAUAUCAGGAAGAACACCGAUGGCGAAGGCAGAUCUCUGGGACGUAACUGACGCUGAGGAGCGAAAGCAUGGGGAGCGAACAGG